UACGGGGGGUGCGAGCGUUGUCCGGAAUCACUGGGCGUAAAGGGCGCGUAGGUGGCGUGAUAAGGGUGUGGUGAAAGCCCGGGGCUCAACCCCGGGUCGGCCAUGCUGACUGUCAGGCUCGAGUGCUGUAGGGGCAGGCGGAAUUCCGGGUGUAGCGGUGGAAUGCGCAGAUAUCAGGAGGAACACCGAUGGCGAAGGCAGGUCUCUGGGCCAUAACUGACGCUGAGAAGCGAAAGCAUGGGGAGCGAACAGG
rnacentral:rRNA from 1 species